rnacentral:rRNA from 1 species
CGGAACACGUACAGAACCUUCCUUUAAGCGGGGGAUAGCCCAUAGAAAUGUGGAUUAAUACCCCAUAGUAAUGUUUAAUGGCAUCAUUAGAUAUUUAAAGAUUUAUCACUUAAAGAUGGCUGUGCGGCUGAUUAGGUAGUUGGUGCGGGUAACGGCCCACCAAGCCAUCGAUCAGUAACUGGUGUGAGAGCACGACCAGUCACACGGGCACUGAGACACGGGCCCG